UACCUGAUGCGUAGUUAAUGCUCAACAAGGAGUGUUCUUUCUUGGAACCAUCUGCCAAGCUGUGAGGAAACUCCAGAGCCAUAUGACAAGACCUGAUGGAGGAUAACUGAGGACUUUGGCCAACAACCCCAGCUGAGCUCCCAGUUGGAAUGUGAAUGAGGCCAUUUUGAGUGUUCCAGCCUAUUGGAGCCCUAGCCAACACACUCUACAAACUAGAACUGCCUGAUUGACCCGCAGAAUCAUAAGAAAUAAAGUAAUUUGAAGGCCUUCCCUGACUUAAAGUGGAUGCUGCUUUGGAAAGCACUGGAAAAAUGGAUCCUGUCUUUCUUAGCCAAGGACUGGUCUCUUUUCUCCAAUGUGUCCCUAACAGAGUGGUGAGGCUGGCUCUUCCCACCAGUACAGACAGAAUUUUCAAUUCACAAAUCAUCUGAAAAACAGGAAAUUUUGGAGAAACAUGCUUAUGAUAACAAACAAGGGAUCUAUCGUGUGGUAUAGAAGUUUACACAAAGAGGCAUCCGAUUUUAAGUUUUUUUUUUUGUUUGUUUUUGUUUUUUUUUUUACCGUUCUGGGCUUCUGGCUGCAUUCUAGGAAGAUCAUUCCUUAAAAGAAAUAGCCAUAUGGCUUAUAAGGGACUAUAUCUUAAGACUAUGUGUCUUCUGCAGUUCUUUGCAUAGAGUCAACGUUGAAGGACAAGCAACUUCAAAUUUCCAAGCAACAAAAUUAUGUUCGGGUGGUUUUCUGAAAGCGAGAUCU
rnacentral:antisense_RNA from 1 species